CCCUGCCCCCGACGGCCUCCCCCCGACUCGCCUCCCCCGACUCCUCUCCCUUGUGCCGCCGCCCCCGAGUCCCCGAGCGCUGCGCUGCCGCCUCCCGCGCCAUGACCCCCUCCUCCUUCGCUGCCCCCUCUUCCUCUUCCUACUGUGGAAUCCUCCCUACGCCAUGGCGGAUAGGGUUUCCUAGUGCCGAGCCGAGGAGCUCAAGGGCCGGGUGUGGCCUCCAUGGAGGUAGUCCUCGAGCAGAUCUGGGACCUCCACGCCUGCCUUAGCGAGCCUCGCGUCCUCCUGCACCCACUUCCUCCUGCUCCGUCCGCCAAAGGGACCCGACGUGGUGACGACAGGGAGGUUACGACGGUAGGUGCCGCAGCGCUGGCGGUGGCCGUGGCCGAAGCCAGGAGCCUGCACAUGAGUAUGCAUCCUUUUCACCCCUCUGUCCUCCCAAUUUCUUCCUAGCUAUACAAAUGAGUCAUGGAUUCUUGAGUACAUAUCCUCUGCACAUGUCAUUCAAACACAUUCCAUUUUCAUUCUGCCCGUUGUAGUAAUAUGUAAUUGUUUGAACUUUAUUUCUGAAUGCAUGGCUCCAUUCAAUUUUGGCUCAUGUCCCUGUUAAGAUAGAAUGAGCGUUUGUAUUUGUAUUGUCCUUUUCUUCAGGUUAUUUUCUGUCUGUAUAUUGCACAUCAUCAGCCAUGUCCCUAGGCUUCUGAUAUCCACCUGUCAUGCCAGAAAUUGGUCGUGGACCCAUUGGCGACUGCUGAACAGGUGAGGGUGUGGUAAACUGGCAUCAGGCUCUUAAGGUCCUCCCAGUGCGUUCCUUCGAUCUCGCCAUGAAGAUCUAUCAAGCUGACAAGGUCGUGCGCCCAUCACGCCCAGGACGAGUCCCCGGGGGUGUACAGCUGGUGAAGAAGUUUGAGCAAAAGGCUUUUGUUCUGAACGGCCAGGUCCUUGAGGCCAAGUCCACCGUGCUCUUUUGUCUUGCAAUUUUUUUUCAUUAGCUUUGACAUUGUCAGCAUGCACUGUUGUGAUUGAUUGAUGAAUACUUCUUUGGAAUGCUUCUUAGAUCAGCAGCUAAUGUUGCAACCUUUUAGAUGGAGACUAGAGGAAGGUUACCUUCUCAGUCUGUCAAGUGGGUGAAGGAUCAGCGGCCACAAGUUCAACUGACAGAUGCAUGAUUAGCUCCAUAAGGUUUGACAUUUGUUGUAAUCAAAGAUAUCAUCUUACCUGCAUCUACAGGUAUAUCUUUGGCUCCUUGCUAACUAACGAUUCACAGUUUUGUCACCUAAAGUAGACUUAUACGGUACAGGCUUACUUUACAUAGUGAAUAGUAUGGAAGCAAAUGAUUUCGUAGUUUAAUAAGAUGGUAUGCAUUUUGUAACCGGACCAGUGCCAGCUGGUGGCCUAAUGUGAAGGUAUAACCUUGCUUCAGAUGGUUGCAGUAGUGCUGCCAUCUAUCUAGUAUAAUGAUAGUAAUUUUUAUUUUGGAUUGAUUGUACUCAGUUUUCUCGAUAGUGGCCUAACUGUCCACUGAAAGGGCCAAUUCCCCUUUUGUUCAGUUUAGCUAGGUCAACAAACUCAUUAUUUACCAAAUAAUUAAUUUUGGUUUGGCAUGAAUAAAUUUCUUGAUCUAGACACAGAUAUCUGUAGUACACAGGUAUGAAAACAUCACUUCCUAAGCAAUUGGGCAAGGCAAGCAACACAACAUGUUAAAGGGCAGUCAAUUAUCCAUUGCUAUCCAGCAACACAUAGUUAAUUCCUAGUCUCAAUCUAGUACUGCAAUGCAUGAUUUUUGUAUUUAUAAUAUGUACUUACCAUUAGAAUAUAUAAUUUCACUUGUAUUCUGAAUUACCCUCCUCAUUUCUUGAUGCUAAAACAUUUCUUUAAAUUUGCAUAUGUGCUUUAGAUGCCUGACUAAGAGAAUGACACUACAAGCACAUCCUAUCUCGGUUGUUUAUUUUCCAAGCAGGUGUGAUAUCUCCUGUUCCGGCAAUAUGGACUCCCUGAUCUCUCACCACACCCUGCUGACAAGGUGCUUGGAUGUUGUGGUGACACCGCAAUGAUCGUGUGUUUAAUGGAAUUUCCCAUAGUGACUAGCGUGCAGGCUGUCCUCGUAUUCGAGAAAUAAAAUCAAUGGGCGAAAUAUUUUCACCCAGUUGCUGCUAAGAUGGAAGAAAUGGGAGUGCUUGCUAAGAUGGAAGAAGGACAAGCCUAAAACGAUAGCAUGAAUGCCAUUCAUAGGCAUAUGUUGCUAUGCUUCAAGCUAUGGCCAAGUUAUGUUAAUGUCUAUCUCCAAUAAAUUGUUCACCAUAUGGGGCGACCUCUAGUUGAUCCAUCGUUGGUCUCAACUAUAUGUAUGUCGUGCAUCUGUGCGCGCGUGUGUGUGGUGACAAGCAUAGUUAAUUCCUCUCGCUGCUUGUAAUAAGGACACCGACACUGUCCAUCGUGAUAUGUGUCAUGAACAGUCUAAUAUAUUUAUGUAUUGUCUCUGGCCUUAGCAAUUUUAUUAAAACAUGAUUAUUAUUAUUA